rnacentral:tRNA from 1 species
GAUCAUGUGGCCUAAUGGAUAAGGCGUCGGACUUCUAAUCCGAUAAUUGCGGGUUCAAGUCCCGCCAUGAUUA